rnacentral:tRNA from 1 species
GGACUGUAGCUCAGUGGUAGAGUACUUGCCUAGCAUGUGUGAGGCACUGGGUUUGAUCCUCAGCACCA